GAAACAAAGAUCUUCACCGCCUUGAUCGUGAAGAAAGUGGAAAACUCAAGGAAAAAUUGGAAGACGAGCUUGGAAAUGUUGAAGGGAAUGAUGAUGGAUGGGGAUAUGUAGGUGAAUAUGGUUAUGAUCAGUAUGAUGAGGAUGGUGAUGAAAACAGGAGUGGAAGUAGGAAUGACAAUGAGAUUGAUGGGGAAAACGAAAAUGGUUAUGAAGGGGAUUCUAAGGAAGCAGGGUUUAAUGCUAAUAGGAUUAAUAAGAGGAAGAUUAAUUAUCCUUUAAGACCUGAUGCUCAGGAUUGUCCUUAUUAUAUGAAAACAGGGAUGUGUAAAUUUGGAUCGAAUUGCAAGUUUAAUCACCCUUCCAGAAGAAGAAUCCAGCAGGGGACAAAGGAGAAGGGGAAGCAAAGGGAAGACAGCCAGGAGAGGCCAGGGCAGAUUGAAUGCAAGUAUUACCUGACAUCAGGGGGUUGCAAGUAUGGAAAAGCUUGUAAAUUUAAUCAUAGUAGGGAAAAGGGUGCCAUUUCACCAAUUGUGGAGUUCAACUUUCUUGGCCUGCCCAUCCGACCGGGGGAAAGGGAGUGCCCUUACUAUAUGCGUACUGGCUCUUGCAAGUAUGGGUCCAAUUGUAGGUUUCAUCAUCCUGAUCCUACCACUGUGGCUGGAGCUGAUCUAUCUUCUGGACAUAACAACACUGGAGCUGUUCCUGUACAAGCUGCCUCACAUUCAUCUGCAUCUUCUUGGUCUCCGCCAAGAGCAUUGAAUGACACAGCUCCUUAUGUACCAAAUAUGUACCCACCAACCCAAGGCACUGCUUCUCCAAAUAUUGAAUGGAAUGGGUAUCAGGCCCCGGCCUAUCCAACAUCAGAGAAAAGACUACCUACUCCUCCAGCAUAUGCGAUGAAUAACCCGGCAAAGACCAAUUUCUAUCCACUGUCUCAACAGUCACAGCAGGUUGAAGAAUAUCCUGAACGUCCUGGUCAACCUGAAUGCAGUUACUUCAUUAAAUUUGGAGACUGUAAAUACAGAUCUAGCUGCAAAUUUCAUCAUCCAAAGUCUAGAAUAUCAAAAGCAAACUCAAGUACUCUGAACGACAAGGGCCUGCCUCUAAGACCUGAUCAAACCGUCUGCUCAUUCUACAGCCGCUAUGGAAUAUGCAAGUAUGGUCCUGCUUGUAAGUUUGAUCAUCCAGAAAAUUAUGUUGGAUCUGCAUCAGCUGCCGAGUCUGGCUUUGAUCAACGUGAGCAAUCACAAAUGUCUCUAGGAUGGCAAGGACAGCACCUGGAAGUGGAUCACUGAUACAGCAGUCUGUAUGAGACCAGUUCCAUCUAGAGUUGAGUUUAAAACCAUAAGCCAAUGGUUGAUCUUCGGAGUCUUAAAACUCCACCGACGUGAGUAUAAGUUCUCAGAUCUAUUUAGAGGAUGGUACAUUUAUCUCUCUAUGUUUCAUGUUGUUAAAAGCGCAAGCAAAAUAGGAUACUGUAAAUUGUUGAUAGAGCAUUUUGUUUUAGAUUAAAUGAAGAUAUUGGGAUAUCAGCACAGGGGGUUGAUCUGGGCUAUUUAGCAUGUUUUCCCCUUUGAAUACAUUUUCAAAUCUUUAUCUAUCUCAUUCAUG
rnacentral:misc_RNA from 1 species